AUUGAACGCUGGCGGCGUGCUUAACACAUGCAAGUCGAUCGGUAACGCGGGGGCAACCCUGGCGACGAGAGGCGGACGGGUGAGGAACGCUUGGGAAUCUGCCCUUCAGCGGGGGACAACACGGGGAAACUCGUGCUAAUACCGCAUACGCUCCACGGAGGAAAGCCGGGGACCGCAAGGCCUGGCACUGAAGGAUGAGCCCAAGUCGGAUUAGCUAGUUGGCGGGGUAACGGCCCACCAAGGCGACGAUCCGUAGCUGGUCUGAGAGGACGAUCAGCCAAACUGGGACUGAGACACGGCCCAGACUCCUGCGGGAGGCAGCAGUGGGGAAUAAUGGACAAUGGGGGAAACCCUGAUCCAGCGACGCCGCGUGGGUGAAGAAGGCCUGCGGGUUGUAAAGCCCUUUCGGUAGGGACGAAAGCGCUCGACCUAACACGUCGGGAGGUUGACUUAACCUACAAAAGAAGCACCGGCUAACUCUGUGCCAGCCGCCGCGGUAAUAC
rnacentral:rRNA from 1 species